rnacentral:rRNA from 1 species
AGAGUUUGAUCCUGGCUCAGGAUGAACGCUAGCUACAGGCUUAACACAUGCAAGUCGAGGGGAAACGGCAUUGAGUGCUUGCACUCUUUGGACGUCGACCGGCGCACGGGUGAGUAACGCGUAUCCAACCUUCCCAUUACUGUGGGAUAACCUGCCGAAAGGCAGACUAAUACCGCAUAGUCUUCGUUGAUGGCAUCAGAUAUGAAGUAAAGAUUUAUCGGUAAUGGAUGGGGAUGCGUCUGAUUAGCUUGUUGGCGGGGUAACAGCCCACCAAGGCAACGAUCAGUAGGGGUUCUGAGAGGAAGGUCCCCCACAUUGGAACUGAGACACGGUCCAAACUCCUACGGGAGGCAGCAGUGAGGAAUAUUGGUCAAUGGGCGAGAGCCUGAACCAGCCAAGUAGCGUGCAGGAUGACGGCCCUAUGGGUUGUAAACUGCUUUUGUAUGGGGAUAAAGUUAGGGACGUGUCCCUAUUUGCAGGUACCAUACGAAUAAGGACCGGCUAAUUCCGUGCCAGCAGCCGCGGUAAUACGGAAGGUCCAGGCGUUAUCCGGAUUUAUUGGGUUUAAAGGGAGCGUAGGCUGGAGAUUAAGUGUGUUGUGAAAUGUAGACGCUCAACGUCUGAAUUGCAGCGCAUACUGGUUUCCUUGAGUACGCACAACGUUGGCGGAAUUCGUCGUGUAGCGGUGAAAUGCUUAGAUAUGACGAAGAACUCCGAUUGCGAAGGCAGCUGACGGGAGCGCAACUGACGCUUAAGCUCGAAGGUGCGGGUAUCGAACAGGAUUAGAUACCCUGGUAGUCCGCACGGUAAACGAUGGAUGCCCGCUGUUAGCGCCUGGCGUUAGCGGCUAAGCGAAAGCAUUAAGCAUCCCACCUGGGGAGUACGCCGGCAACGGUGAAACUCAAAGGAAUUGACGGGGGCCCG